AUUGAACGCUGGCGGCAUGCUUUACACAUGCAAGUCGAACGGCAGCGCGGGCUUCGGCCUGGCGGCGAGUGGCGAACGGGUGAGUAAUGCAUCGGAACGUGCCCAGUAGUGGGGGAUAGCCCGGCGAAAGCCGGAUUAAUACCGCAUACGACCUGAGGGUGAAAGCGGGGGGCCGAAAGGCCUCGCGCUAUUGGAGCGGCCGAUGUCGGAUUAGCUAGUUGGUGGGGUAAAGGCUUACCAAGGCGACGAUCCGUAGCUGGUCUGAGAGGACGACCAGCCACACUGGGACUGAGACACGGCCCAGACUCCUACGGGAGGUAGCAGUGGGGAAUUUUGGACAAUGGGGGCAACCCUGAUCCAGCCAUGCCGCGUGCGGGAAGAAGGCCUUCGGGUUGUAAACCGCUUUUGUUCGGGAAGAAAUCCUCUGGGCUAAUACCCCGGGGGGAUGACGGUACCGGAAGAAUAAGCACCGGCUAACUACGUG
rnacentral:rRNA from 1 species